GGCCGCCACUAGCAAACAACCUCAGCUUCAUAAAUCCAGCAGAAAGGUCCGGGGUAUUGUUGAAAAGGUCGGAAGGACCAAGAUUAUGUCCGCCAGCCUAAGUGGGACGAACAACCAAGUUGUGCGAUGCAGCUUUAAAGGGGCUGGUGAUUGACAGAAUGGUGUAGUAGUAGAUGGGGUGGAGCCGCUGGGUGGGGUCGAGACUGGCAGCUGAGAGAUACCAAAAGGAAGAAAAAAGAAAACCAUUGCUCUUGAUAUUGCUAAUGCCGGGGGAGGUAAGCUAACGAGAAAGUAGGGAAAAGGAAGGUUUUAGAGUUCACCUCCACUCCUUCCCCUGGCUAACACUCUUUACACUCUUCUGCCUUCCCUUGAGAUAAUUAAAAUAGACUGUACACCGGCCCUAGUCGGUGCCCAUUCCCCCUAACUCUUCACUCAACUACGUGUGUAGUCCGAGGGAGUGAGGACCCCGGGUCCAAGAGCUCAAUCCCGGCCCCGCCCCGUCGGCCCAGGCCCCGGGGCUGGGAGGAGAGGAUGCCUUCGGAGGCGCAGAAUCCGAAAAGAUGUGGUUGGAGCUGGAAGCUGUUAUCCUCAGCAAACUAAUGCAGGAGGAGAAAACCAAAUACUGCAAGUUCUCACUUAUAAGUGGGAACUGAAUGAUGAGAACAUUUGGACAUGAAGCUGGGCAGAGAAAUCGAGCUGCAAAAUGACCUACAGAUAUUACAGUUUUAUUCUUGGAAAAUGGAGGUUGUCUAUUAGUGUGAUGGUAACAACCAACUAAUAAAAUUUGGAGACUAGACUGCUUGUCAUGUCUGGGGUUCACUGGAAAUCAAUGAUUCACUGGAACAAUUCUCCUGUCAAAAAAAAUGUGAGGUUUGUAACUUGCCCUAAGUAUAACAAGGGAUAUAUUUUAACAAAGGAUGUAUUUUUUCUUAAGAAGCAACCAUUUCUCAGCUUAUACAUAAUAGCAAUAAUAAAGUCUUUGACCCUA
rnacentral:lncRNA from 1 species